AGGCCCAGAGCUGGGGGAGAGGGGCUGCUCCCACGGGAUGAUCCCACAGGAGGGGAGAAGGGAGCCCAGAAAUAGCAAGUGCAGUUGCAGAAGGCGCCGGUUGCCAUGGGAUCUUCACAACCAAAAAUGACGGGGCUCUGGCAGUGCAAGAAGGGGCCCUUUCAUGUGUUUCUAUGGGAAGUCAGCUCCUGGCCACAGCCUCCAGGGCUGGAGCCCUGCCCGGGCCAGGAAGGAUUUGGGGACACUGCUGCUGGGGCCUGUGAAACUCCCAGGAGACCCUUGCUUGGUCCAGGAGGUUUUUCCCAGGUGCAGCUCAGAGAUCACUCGGGACUGACACAGUACCUGUGCCUGGUAAAGGGGAGAUUCCCUGUUCCUCCUGCUGGGCCUGCUCCCAUCAGGAAUCCCCCAGUGUGGAGGAUUUUCCUGCUGCAGCUGAGGAAGCUCAGCCCCUUCACCCUGAAUCCCCAUGGGAUGAACAUCUGGAACAUCUCCAGCCACACACGGAGGAGGAAAAGCUGGGAGCUGGAAAAACUGGAUGUGGGGACAGGCACGGCCACCCCACGGAGCUCCAGAGCUCCAGAGGCAGCGGCUCCAUCCCGGGAAGGAUCGGGGGAGGACGGGGAUGCGCCGGGGAAGAGGAGAGAGAACCCGCGGGGAGCGGGGCUGUUUAUAACAGAACCACAGCCCUGGCUGCAGGAGAGGCUCGAGAAGGACGAGACGGGGAUUCCUCGGAGUGCCAGGCUGAAAUGACCUCCAGCAGAAAGACUGAAAAUCACUCCUGGAAGGAGGGAAGUGUGGAUUUGAUGUGGAUAUUUCUGAACAGGACACCAAGGAGGGCUCCCACAGCUCUGCCAGGUUUUCCUCCCCAGCUGGGAGCACCAGCCUGGAGCUGGGACUGGGAACAAACAUCUUGUAUCCACUAAUCCCACACUCCCCUGGACUCUUGGUCUUCCCAAAGCCAAGAAGCUCCCAGGAACUGGUGUUUUCCAGCAGGGAACAGCCUGCCCAGCUCCUGGGGCUGCUCAGGGCCAGCCCGGCAGCCGUCCAAGGGCUUUUUAUCAACUGGCACCCAAAAGUCAAUAAGGAAGAUGCCGCCUGUUUUAAUUAACAGCAAUUUCGCACUGAUGGGGGUGAGCUGAUGUGCCAGGGGGAGGGAGGGAGGCCAGAGACAAAACAUGACCUUGUUGGUGCAGCACACACAGCGGGACAUUGUUUUCCCCUCGGAGUCUGGCCUUGGAUGCUGCUGGGCACAGCUGGGUGCUGGGGACAGGGGGUCCUGCCGCCCCUGCUGGCUCUGGAGCAGUUCUGGGGGGGAGCAGGGUGCCUGGAGAACUCCAGAGCUCAGGAUGUGGCGCUGGGGAGGUGUCCUCAGGGAGUGUCGGUGGUUUAGGAUGGCACUAAAGGGUGUGGAUUUUGGGAACCCCCAGUGGCUGGGAUGCUGCAGGCCCCUGGCCAGCACGAGCGAUCCAUCAGUUUAGUCUCAUUUUCCUUUCCCCUCCGUUCUCCUAUUCCGGGAAAUCAGAGAGGAGGAGCAACCAGAGGGGGAAAUCCUCCCUGUGCGUGUGCCAGGGUGCUCAGAGAGGCAGGGUGUGACACAUGGCACAGCCUGGCCCCACGGCAGGACCUGUCCCCACGGCAGGACCUGUCCCCACGGCAGGACCCGUCCCCACGGCAGGACCUGUCCCCACGGCAGGACCUGUCCCCACGGCAGGACCUGUCCCCACGGCAGGACAUCCCAGGAAUGACGGGGCUGGGAUGAGAGGGACCCUGGAAUGAGCAAAACCCCGGGAUGAGACACCCAGGGGGGACAGGACCAUGGGGGGACAGGACUGAGGUCACCUGCACCAGGACAGUCCUGGGGGUGACAGGAAAGGGCCAAGUGGCACCAUGGGACCCUGCCAGGGGUGACAGGGAUGGGCUGAGCAGCACCCCCAGGCUGACGGGGCUGGGGGCACAGGCACUGCAGGGGGUUCGGUGAUGGGGGCAGAGGCACCCAGGGGUUUUGGGGCUGGGGGGAGCAGCACCCUAAGGGUGUCAGGAAUGAGGGGUGAUGGGCUUGGAGGCAGAGACACCCCAAAUCUGCCAAGGAUGGGGUGAGCAGCGCCCCGGGGGUGAUGAGACUCCACCCAGGGAAGGGGGUGCCCCCACUUUUGGGGGCGCACAGGCGGGCCCCCCCCCCCCCCCCCCCCCCCCCCCCCCCCCCCCCCCCCCCCCCCCCCC
rnacentral:lncRNA from 12 species